rnacentral:rRNA from 1 species
CCCUUCACACCAAACCAGUCUGGGAAACCUGCUGGCGGCCCGUUCUAACCCACGGGGAAUGGUGACAGAGGAAGGGAUAUUGCAAUGGGCGAUCCGCAGCGAAGCCCCUACAGCCGCCCGUGAGGGACGGUAUGGGGAACGUUCACAGACUAAGUGGAAGUGGGUGGGACUCAGGUCCUGCUUAAGAUAUAGUCGGGCCCUUGAAGAAAUUUGAGGGGGUUUAAACCGUUCCGUAGGUGAACCUUCGGAAGGAUCAUUA